CCUACGUGUGGCAGCAGUGAGGAAUAUUGGUCAAUGGGCGCGAGCCUGAACCAGCCAAGUAGCGUGAAGGAUGACUGCCCUACGGGUUGUAAACUUCUUUUAUAAAGGAAUAAAGUGAUGCACGUGUGCCUUUUUGUAUGUACUUUAUGAAUAAGGAUAGGCUAACUCCGUGCCAGCAGCCGCGGUAAUACGGAGGAUCCGAGCGUUAUCCGGAUUUAUUGGGUUUAAAGGGAGCGUAGAUUGGUUGUUAAGUCAGUUGUGAAAGUGUGAGGCUCAACAGUAAAAUUGCAAUUGAUACUGGCAGUCUUGAGUACAGUUGAGGCAGGCGGAAUUCGUGGUGUAGCGGUGAAAUGCUUAGAUAUCACGAAGAACUCCGAUUGCGAAGGCAGCUUACUAAACUGCCACUGACAUUGAUGCUCGAAAGUGUGGGUAUCAAACAGGAUUAGAUACCCCAGUAGUC
rnacentral:rRNA from 1 species